UACGUAGGGUGCGAGCGUUGUCCGGAAUUAUUGGGCGUAAAGGGCUCGUAGGCGGUUUGUCGCGUCGAAAGUGAAAACUCAGGGCUUAACCCUGAGCCUGCUUCCGAUACGGGCAGACUAGAGGUAUGCAGGGGAGAACGGAAUUCCUGGUGUAGCGGUGAAAUGCGCAGAUAUCAGGAGGAACACCGGUGGCGAAGGCGGUUCUCUGGGCAUUACCUGACGCUGAGGAGCGAAAGUGUGGGGAGCGAACAGG
rnacentral:rRNA from 1 species